rnacentral:tRNA from 1 species
UCCUUAGUAGCUCAGUGGUAGAGCAAUCGGCUGUUAACCGAUUGGCCGUAGGUUCAAGUCCUACCUGAGGAG